rnacentral:rRNA from 1 species
ACGCUCGACACCUACGGAGGCAGCAGUCGGGAAUAUUGCGCAAUGGAGGAAACUCUGACGCAGUGACGCCGCGUAUAGGAAGAAGGUUUUCGGAUUGUAAACUAUUGUCGUUAGGGAAGAAAAAGGACAGUACCUAAGGAGGAAGCUCCGGCUAACUACGUGCCAGUAGCCGCGGUAAUCUGAGCGGGCUGGCAAGGC